rnacentral:lncRNA from 1 species
CUCUAAGUGUUAUCAAUUGGGACCAAUAGAGUAACCAGUGAACUCGGAAGAGAUUAAUUAUUAAAUAAAAGAGAUAGACCAAUAUUAAUAAAUACAAGAGAGGACAUUGUUGAUAACAUUAAUAAUUGGUCAAUUGAUGCUGGAAGAUAAAAUAUCAAUUGAGAUAUUUUUAUUACUACUUGAUAUCAUAUAUAUUAUAUAUGUAUUUUGUGUGGUGGGGAUUGAAAGAAGAAGAAAAGGAUAAGAAGAAGUAGGUAAGAGAGAGUGAGAGAUAUCAGAAAGGAAAAAGAAAAGAAAGAGAAAAAAGAAGA